rnacentral:rRNA from 1 species
UACAGAGGGUGCAAGCGCUGCUCGGAAUUAUUGGGCGUAAAGGGUAGGUAGGUGGUCUCAUUUGUCUGGGGUGAAAUCCUUGGGCUUAACUCAAGAAGUGCCCCAGAAACGGUGAGGCUGGAGUCCUGGAGAGGGUCGUGGAAUUCCCGGUGUAGCGGUGAAAUGCGUAGAGAUCGGGAGGAACACCAGAGGCGAAGGCGGCGACCUGGACAGGUACUGACACUCAACUACGAAAGCGUGGGGAGCAAACAGG